CAUAAAGCACCGCACCCAAUUAAUCUUCAAUGCCUCAUAUUCUGCCCGUACGGGAAGGAUGAGAAGCUUCGACUAAGGUUCGAUUCGAGCGUCAGCGAGAAAGCGUUGCCGCAGGCAACGACCCGAAGGGCGAAGCGCGCAGCGCUGAGUAAUCCUUCCCCCACCACCA
rnacentral:sRNA from 1 species